rnacentral:rRNA from 1 species
GACGAACGCUGGCGGCGUGCCUAAUACAUGCAAGUAGAACGCUGAAGAGAGGAGCUUGCUCUUCUUGGAUGAGUUGCGAACGGGUGAGUAACGCGUAGGUAACCUGCCUGGUAGCGGGGGAUAACUAUUGGAAACGAUAGCUAAUACCGCAUAAAAUUAAUUAUUGCAUGAUAAUUAAUUGAAAGAUGCAAUUGCAUCACUACCAGAUGGACCUGCGUUGUAUUAGCUAGUUGGUGAGGUAACGGCUCACCAAGGCGACGAUACAUAGCCGACCUGAGAGGGUGAUCGGCCACACUGGGACUGAGACACGGCCCAGACUCCUACGGGAGGCAGCAGUAGGGAAUCUUCGGCAAUGGGGGGAACCCUGACCGAGCAACGCCGCGUGAGUGAAGAAGGUUUUCGGAUCGUAAAGCUCUGUUGUAAGAGAAGAACGGGUGUGAGAGUGGAAAGUUCACACUGUGACGGUAUCUUACCAGAAAGGGACGGCUAACUACGUGCCAGCAGCCGCGGUAAUACGUAGGUCCCGAGCGUUGUCCGGAUUUAUUGGGCGUUAAGCGAGCGCAUGCGGUUAGAUAGUCUGAAGUUAAAGGCUGUGGCUUAACCAUAGUAUGCUUUGGAAUCUGUUUAAUUUGAGUGCAGAUGGGGGAGAGUGGAAUUCCGUGUGUUGCGGUUAAUGCGUAUAGAUAUGUAGGAACACCGGUGGCGAUGGCGCUUCUCUGGUCUGUAUGUGGUUUUUUAUGUUCUUAUGCGUGGGGAUGUGAUGGUUUAGAUUCCCUUGGAUCCGAGAGCAAUGUCUGUUGUGGAUUUCAUGUUUUCGAUCUGUCAACUGCGUGGUGUGACAAAAUAACAAUUGUAUUUCUGCUUUUUUUUUUAUUUUUAUU